ACGGGUGAGUAACACGUGGAUAACCUACCUAUAAGACUGGGAUAACUCGGGAAACCGAGCUAAUACCGGAUAAUAUAUUGAACCGCAUGGUUCAAUAGUGAAAGACGGUUUUGCUGUCACUUAUAGAUGGAUCCGCGCCGCAUUAGCUAGUUGGUAAGGUAACGGCUUACCAAGGCAACGAUGCGUAGCCGACCUGAGAGGGUGAUCGGCCACACUGGAACUGAGACACGGUCCAGACUCCUACGGGAGGCAGCAGUAC
rnacentral:rRNA from 1 species